UACGGGGGGAGCAAGCGUUGUUCGGAUUUACUGGGCGUAAAGGGCGCGUAGGCGGCCACCGCAAGUCGACUGUGAAAUCUCCGGGCUUAACUCGGAAAGGUCAGCCGAUACUGCGGGGCUAGAGUGCAGAAGGGGCAACUGGAAUUCUCGGUGUAGCGGUGAAAUGCGUAGAUAUCGAGAGGAACACCUGCGGCGAAGGCGGGUUGCUGGGCUGACACUGACGCUGAGGCGCGAAAGUGUGGGGAGCGAACAGG
rnacentral:rRNA from 1 species